UCUUUUUCUUUUUCUUUUUCUUUUUUUUGUUUUUUUUUUUUUUUUGAGACAAAGUUUCACUCUUGUCGCCCAGGCUGGAGUGCAAUGGCACGAUCUAGGCUCACUGCAACCUCCACCUCCCGGAUUCAAGUGAUUCUCCUGCCUCAGCCUCUCAAGUAGCUGGGAUUACAGGUGCCCACCAUCAUGCCCGGCUAAUUUUUGUAUUUUUAGUAGAGACGGGGUUUCACCAUGUUGGCCAGGCUGGUCUUGAACUCUUCAUCUCAGGUGAUCCACCCGCCUCGGCCUCCCAAAGUGCUGGGAUUACAAGUGUGUGUGAGCCACUGCACCUGGCCAAGAUUCUUCAACAGGUAUUUAUUGAAGACCUGCUAGGUAUUGGACACUUUCAAACACCUGGACAGGUGUCAGAUUUGAAGUCUUAUGAUGAUGGCAGAAAUCUCACCAUUUUUGAUGAAGCUCAUGGGCAGUCUUCCCUGGCUAGG